rnacentral:rRNA from 1 species
CCUAUCAUGCNAGUCGAACGCUUCUUUUCCCACCGGAGCUUGCUCCACCGGGAAAAGAGGAGUGGCGAACGGGUGAGUAACACGUGGGUAACCUGCCCAUCAGAAGGGGAUAACACUUGGAAACAGGUGCUAAUACCGUAUAACAAUCGAAACCGCAUGGUUUCGUUUUGAAAGGCGCUUUACGGUGCCGCUGAUGGAUGGACCCGCGGUGCAUUAGCUAGUUGGUGAGGUAACGGCUCACCAAGGCCACGAUGCAUAGCCGACCUGAGAGGGUGAUCGGCCACAUUGGGACUGAGACACGGCCCAAACUCCUACGGGAGGCAGCAGUAGGGAAUCUUCGGCAAUGGACGAAAGUCUGACCGAGCAACGCCGCGUGAGUGAAGAAGGUUUUCGGAUCGUAAAACUCUGUUGUUAGAGAAGAACAAGGGUGAGAGUAACUGUUCACCCCUUGACGGUAUCUAACCAGAAAGCCACGGCUAACUACGUGCCAGCAGCCGCGGUAAUACGUAGGUGGCAAGCGUUGUCCGGAUUUAUUGGGCGUAAAGCGAGCGCAGGCGGUUUCUUAAGUCUGAUGUGAAAGCCCCCGGCUCAACCGGGGAGGGUCAUUGGAAACUGGGAGACUUGAGUGCAGAAGAGGAGAGUGGAAUUCCAUGUGUAGCGGUGAAAUGCGUAGAUAUAUGGAGGAACACCAGUGGCGAAGGCGGCUCUCUGGUCUGUAACUGACGCUGAGGCUCGAAAGCGUGGGGAGCAAACAGGAUUAGAUACCCUGGUAGUCCACGCCGUAAACGAUGAGUGCUAAGUGUUGGAGGGUUUCCGCCCUUCAGUGCUGCAGCUAACGCAUUAAGCACUCCGCCUGGGGAGUACGACCGCAAGGUUGAAACUCAAAGGAAUUGACGGGGGCCCGCACAAGCGGUGGAGCAUGUGGUUUAAUUCGAAGCAACGCGAAGAACCUUACCAGGUCUUGACAUCCUUUGACCACUCUAGAAAUAGAGCUUCCCCUUCGGGGGCAAAGUGACAGGUGGUGCAUGGUUGUCGUCAGCUCGUGUCGUGAGAUGUUGGGUUAAGUCCCGCAACGAGCGCAACCCUUAUUGUUAGUUGCCAUCAUUUAGUUGGGCACUCUAGCAAGACUGCCGGUGACAAACCGGAGGAAGGUGGGGAUGACGUCAAAUCAUCAUGCCCCUUAUGACCUGGGCUACACACGUGCUACAAUGGGAAGUACAACGAGUCGCGAAGUCGCGAGGCUAAGCUAAUCUCUUAAAGCUUCUCUCAGUUCGGAUUGUAGGCUGCAACUCGCCUACAUGAAGCCGGAAUCGCUAGUAAUCGCGGAUCAGCACGCCGCGGUGAAUACGUUCCCGGGCCUUGUACACACCGCCCGUCACACCACGAGAGUUUGUAACACCCGAAGUCGGUGAGGUAACCUUUUGGAGCCAGCCGCCUAAGUGA